rnacentral:rRNA from 2 species
UCCCUUUCUCCACCUGGAGAGAGGGUGAAAGAUGGCUUCGGCUAUCACUAGGGGAUGGGCCCGCGGCGCAUUAGCUAGUUGGUAAGGUAACGGCUUACCAAGGCGACGAUGCGUAGCCGACCUGAGAGGGUGAUCGGCCACACUGGGACUGAGACACGGCCCAGACUCCUACGGGAGGCAGCAGUAGGGAAUCUUCCGCAAUGGACGAAAGUCUGACGGAGCAACGCCGCGUGAGUGAGGAAGGCCUUCGGGUCGUAAAGCUCUGUUGUGAGGGAAGAAGCGGUACCGUUCGAAUAGGGCGGUACCUUGACGGUACCUCACCAGAAAGCCACGGCUAACUACGUGCCAGCAGCCGCGGUAAUACGUAGGUGGCAAGCGUUGUCCGGAAUUAUUGGGCGUAAAGCGCGGCGCAGGCGGCUUCUUAAAGUCUGAUGUGAAAUCUCGGGGCUCAACCCCGAGGCGGUCCAUUGGAAACUGGGGAGCUUGAGUGCAGAAGAGGAGAGUGGAAUUCCACGUGUAGCGGUGAAAUGCGUAGAGAUGUGGAGGAACACCAGUGGCGAAGGCGACUCUCUGGUCUGUAACUGACGCU